rnacentral:rRNA from 1 species
UCGGAUUGCAGUCUGCAACUCGACUGCAUGAAGCUGGAAUCGCUAGUAAUCGCGAAUCAGAAUGUCGCGGUGAAUACGUUCCCGGGUCUUGUACACACCGCCCGUCACACCAUGGGAGUUGGUAACGCCCGAAGUCAGUGACCCAACCGCAAGGAGGGAGCUGCCGAAGGCGGGACCGGUAACUGGGGUGAAGUCGUAACAAGGUACC